GAACUUAUUGAAAAUUAAAAAAAAACGAAAUAUGAAAAGAUUUUGUGAUGGCACGCGUGAUAUUUCGAUUCAGUUUUAUGUCGAACAUAAAUUUAUCCUCAGAAUGUGAUAUUCUUAUUUAUUUUUGAUAUGUUCCAUAUUCUUGUUUAUUCUUAAAAUAUUAUAAAACCUUUUCGUCUUCGAAACUGUGUAAGAACGAAAUAAAUAGUAAUAAAAAAUAUUAAUAACAAUUAAAUAAAAAUUCGAAGGUCGCAGCAGAGUAAAAUGAAUUUUUUAAAUUUCAUUAAUUGAAACAAGAACUAUCGCAAUCC